rnacentral:rRNA from 1 species
GAUGAACGCUGGCGGCGUGCCUAAUACAUGCAAGUCGAGCGAACAGACGAGGAGCUUGCUCCUCUGACGUUAGCGGCGGACGGGUGAGUAACACGUGGAUAACCUACCUCUAAGACUGGGACAACUUCGGGAAACCGGAGCUAAUACCGGAUAAUAUAUUGAACCGCAUGGUUCAAUAGUGAAAGACGGUUAUGCUGUCACUUCUAGAUGGCUCCGCGCCGCAUUAGUUAGUUGGUAAGGUAACGGCUUACCAUGGCAACGAUGCGUAGCCGACCUGAGAGGGGGAUCGGCCACACGAGAACUGAGACACGGUCCAGACUCCUACGGGAGGCAGCAGUAGGGAAUCUUGCGCAAUGGGCGAAAGCCUGACGGAGCAACGCCGCGUGAGUGAUGAAGGUCUUCGGAUCGUAGAACUCUGUUAUUAGGUAAGAACAAAUGUGUAAGUAACUAUGCACGUCGUGACGGUACCUAAUCAGAAAGCCACGGCUAACUACGUG